rnacentral:rRNA from 1 species
UACGGAGGGUGCAAGCGUUAUCCGGAUUCACUGGGUUUAAAGGAUGCGUAGGUGGGCUAGUAAGUCCGUGGUGAAAUCUCUGAGCUUAACUCGGAAACUGCCGUGGAUACUAUUAGUCUUGAAUCUCGUGGAGGUAAGCGGAAUAUGUCAUGUAGCGGUGAAAUGCUUAGAUAUGACAUAGAACACCGAUAGCGAAGGCAGCUUGCUACACGAGUAUUGACACUGAGGCACGAAAGCGUGGGGAUCAAACAGG